CAUUAAGUGACUGAAAGUAAGUAAUGGUCUCUUAAACCAGUCUAUGGUAAUUAACACUUACCCUUAAUG
rnacentral:tRNA from 1 species